ACAAGCAAUCUUCAAAAAAGUUCUUUUUUAGUGCUAGUUCUAGUGUACGUUUUUUGUCAUUUUUAUUCUAAAUAACUUUUCUUUUAUUUUGAAUUGUUUUUAGUUAUUUCAUUGUUUAUUUUUACAGCUUGCUUUGUUGGAUUUUAAUAAUAAUGGUGGUUCUCAACAAAUUGAUUUAAUUUGUGAUUCUUGGGUCAAAUGGGUGGAUUUCAACCAAGUUGAUUUGUCUAAGUUUGAUCUGAUUGUUGUUCCGAUAUUGAAAGGCAGUCAGUACUUCUUACUUCUUUUGAAUAUGAAGUUAAGAAUGGUUCAAUGGAUAGACAAUGUGAACCAUACUGCUGUUUCAGAAGAAGAAAUUAGAAAGCUCGGUGACACUAUGAAAGAUUUGUUGUCAACAAUUUUUGAUGAUAAGAUGCAAGCUACUGAUGUUAUUCCAUUAUGGAAAAUGGAACGAGUUCCCACUGAUUAGAAAAUGACUGCUAGGACGAACAUUGAAAGUGAUGUAUUUAUGAUGAUGAGCAUGCUGUUUUUCGAGGGAACAGUUGAUUUCCAGUGUCCAAUAUUGAAUGCAGCUCCAUUGAGACAUGUUGCAAGAGUUAAGAUUGCUGGAUCUUUAUUGUUAUCUGAUUUGAACAAACAAAGAUCUACAGUUUUAGAAGAGGUGUCCAAUUUUAAGGAUAAAAGACGCUCCAUUGCCAAACAAGUUUCUAUCAGAAGAUUAAAGAUUCGUUAAUGUGAAGUACAAGAUGAAGUUGUGAAUUUUUAAGUUGUACAAACAUUUGAUGGAACAUAGUAGAUAAUCAGGCACUUAGGCUUAGGCUUUAGGUCCAAACUCCAAAGUGCUAACAGGACUUGAAACAUUAUGGUGAUUGGACUUUGAAACAUUAAGUAUUAAACCUGCAAGAGCAAGGUUUACACAAGCAUUGAUUUUCUUUCUAAUUAUGUGUCAUUAGGUUGGA